rnacentral:rRNA from 1 species
UAAGGUCAAGCUGUGAUGGGGAGAGGAAACAUGUUUUCCUCGAGUCGUUGAUUUCACACUGCCGAGAAAAGCCUCUAGCUAGAAGAUUGGUGCCCGUACCGCAAACCGACACAGGUAGUCAAGAUGAGAAUUCUAAGGUGAGCGAGCGAACUCUCGUUAAGGAACUCGGCAAAAUGACCCCGUAACUUCGGGAGAAGGGGUGCUCUUUGAGGUUCACGCUUCGAAGAGCCGCAGUGAAUAGGCCCAAGCGACUGUUUAUCAAAAACACAGGUCUCUGCUAAACCGUAAGGUGACGUAUAGGGGCUGACGCCUGCCCGGUGCUGGAAGGUUAAGAGGAGUGGUUAGCAUUAGCGAAGCUACGAAUCGAAGCCCCAGUAAACGGCGGCCGUAACUAUAACGGUCCUAAGGUAGCGAAAUUCCUUGUCGGGUAAGUUCCGACCCGCACGAAAGGCGUAACGAUUUGGGCACUGUCUCAACGAGAGACUCGGUGAAAUCAUAGUACCGGUGAAGAUGCCGGUUACCCGCGACAGGACGGAAAGACCCCGUGGAGCUUUACUGUAGCCUGAUAUUGAAAUUCGGUACAGUUUGUACAGGAUAGGUAGGAGCCUUAGAAACGUGAGCGCUAGCUUACGUGGAGGCAUUGGUGGGAUACUACCCUAAUUGUAUUGGAUUUCUAACCCGCAACUCUUAUCGAGUUGGGAGACAGUGUCAGGCGGGCAGUUUGACUGGGGCGGUCGCCUCCUAAAGUGUAACGGAGGCGCUCAAAGGUUCCCUCAGAAUGGUUGGAAAUCAUUCAUAGAGUGUAAAGGCAUAAGGGAGCUUGACUGCGAGACCUACAAGUCGAGCAGGGUCGAAAGACGGACUUAGUGAUCCGGUGGUUCCGCAUGGAAGGGCCAUCGCUCAACGGAUAAAAGCUACCCCGGGGAUAACAGGCUUAUCUCCCCCAAGAGUUCACAUCGACGGGGAGGUUUGGCACCUCGAUGUCGGCUCAUCGCAUCCUGGGGCUGUAGUCGGUCCCAAGGGUUGGGCUGUUCGCCCAUUAAAGCGGUACGCGAGCUGGGUUCAGAACGUCGUGAGACAGUUCGGUCCCUAUCCGUCGUGGGCGUAGGAAAUUUGAGAGGCGCUGUCCUUAGUACGAGAGGACCGGGAUGGACAUACCUCUGGUGUACCAGUUGUCGUGCCAACGGCAUAGCUGGGUAGCUAUGUAUGGACGGGAUAAGUGCUGAAAGCAUCUAAGCAUGAAGCCCCCCUCAAGAUGAGAUUUCCCAACUUCGGUUAUAAGAUCCCUCAAAGAUGAUGAGGUUAAUAGGUUCGAGGUGGAAGCGUAG